UGAAGACGUCAAAGACAUGGUGCUACUUCUGCUGUCCUACUUUGAUGAGAAAGAAGAUGCGAUGUUCUGUUAUGUGGAGGACACAUGCCUGGCAGGGGAAGUACAGAUGGACCAGCUUUACUUGACUCCCACAAUUGUGGUGUGUGGACGGUCCUGUUAUUCUUCUAAACGGUUUAUGCUGAGCGUGGACCGAAACAUUGUACACGACAACAUCACCUCCUUCAUUUCUGCCCUGUGCAUGAUGUUCGGGAGCUAUUAUUGCUUCAACAUUCAUUACCCAUCACAGCUGGCAUCAACCCUGGAGUUUCUGCAGAGAUGUUUUUUCUCCAUCAAUCCAGAGAAGGGCACUAAAGUGGAGAAGACAAAUACAUCACGUCUUCACGUGAAGCCAAGAGUCCUUACCUUGAUACAGGAACUUUCA